CCUACGGGAGGCAGCAGUGGGGAAUAUUGGGCAAUGGGCGCAAGCCUGACCCAGCAACGCCGCGUGAAGGAAGAAGGCUUUCGGGUUGUACACUUCUUUUCUCAGGGACGAAGAAAGUGACGGUACCUGAGGAAUAAGCCACGGCUAACUACGUGCCAGCAGCCGCGGUAAUACGUCGGUGGCAAGCGUUAUCCGGAUUUACUGGGUGUAAAGGGUGUGUAGGCGGGGAAGCAAGUCAGAUGUGAAAACCACGGGCUCAACCUGUGGCCUGCAUUUGAAACUGUUUUUCUUGAGUACUGGAGAGGCAGACGGAAUUCCUAGUGUAGCGGUGAAAUGCGUAGAUAUUAGGAGGAACACCAGUGGCGAAGGCGGUCUGCUGGACAGCAACUGACGCUGAGGCGCGAAAGCGUGGGGAGCAAACAGGAUUAGAUACCCGGGUAGUC
rnacentral:rRNA from 1 species